rnacentral:rRNA from 1 species
AUGAACGCUGGCGGCGUGCUUAACACAUGCAAGUCGAACGGAACUACUCCAAUGAGAGUCUUCGGAAAGGAUUUGGUUUAGUUUAGUGGCGGACGGGUGAGUAACGCGUGGGUAACCUGCCCUAUACAGGGGGAUAACAGUUGGAAACGACUGUUAAUACCGCAUAAGCGCACAGGAGCGCAUGCUCCGGUGUGAAAAACUCCGGUGGUAUAGGAUGGACCCGCGUCUGAUUAGCUGGUUGGCGGGGUAACGGCCCACCAAGGCGACGAUCAGUAGCCGGCCUGAGAGGGUGAACGGCCACAUUGGGACUGAGACACGGCCCAAACUCCUACGGGAGGCAGCAGUGGGGAAUAAUGCACAAUGGGGGAAACCCUGAUGCAGCGACGCCGCGUGAGCGAAGAAGUAUCUCGGUAUGUAAAGCUCUAUCAGCAGGGAAGAAAAUGACGGUACCUGACUAAGAAGCCCCGGCUAACUACGUG